UGUUAGUCCAUCUNCUGGGGUGUACUUGC
rnacentral:piRNA from 1 species